rnacentral:sRNA from 1 species
UCCCAAUGUUCGACAGGUUGAUCUAAUGU